rnacentral:rRNA from 1 species
GCCUACGGGGGGCAGCAGUAGGGAAUUUUCGUCAAUGGGCGCAAGCCUGAACGAGCAAUGCCGCGUGAACGAGGAAGGUCUUCGGAUCGUAAAGUUCUGUUGAAGGGGAAAAAGAGCGGAGAGAGAAAAUGGUCUCCGAUUGAUAUUACCCUUCGAGGAAGUCACGGCUAACUACGUGCCAGCAGCCGCGGUAAUACGUAGGUGGCGAGCGUUAUCCGGAAUGAUUGGGCGUAAAGGGUGCGUAGGCGGCCUGCUAAGUCUGGAGUGAAAGGUACCGGCUCAACCGGUACAGGCUCUGGAAACUG